rnacentral:misc_RNA from 1 species
AAGUCGUAACAAGGUAACCGUAGGUGAACCUGCGGUUGGAUCAUUAUUGAAUUUGGGCGUGAGCCCAAUAGUAACUCGAGUCUUUGGACUUGGGUUCGAACCUAUUGUGAACUUGUAUCAGUCAAAGUCGGAGCUCUGGCUUCUUCUUUGGCCUUGAACCUAGUCAUCCUAGUCUUAAUCAAUUAAAUAAUUGAAACAACUUUUGACAACGGAUCUCUUGGCUCUC